rnacentral:ncRNA from 22 species
UUUCAUGAUGAGAAAAUUUAUUAACACAGACCUGUACUGAACUUUUCAAGUCAUGCAGAUAACAAUAUUAUUGCCUUUUUAUUUCUGAUU